rnacentral:rRNA from 1 species
GUAGUCCACGCCCUAAACGAUGUCAACUGGUUGUUGGGGGAUUAACUCCCUUAGUAACGAAGCUAACGCGUGAAGUUGACCGCCUGGGGAGUACGGCCGCAAGGUUAAAACUCAAAGGAAUUGACGGGGACCCGCACAAGCGGUGGAUUAUGUGGAUUAAUUCGAUGCAACGCGAAAAACCUUACCUACCCUUGACAUGCUAGGAAGCUUGCAGAGAUGCGAGUGUGCCCGAAAGGGAACCUAGACACAGGUGCUGCAUGGCUGUCGUCAGCUCGUGUCGUGAGAUGUUGGGUUAAGUCCCGCAACGAGCGCAACCCUUGUCAUUAGUUGCUACAUUCAGUUGGGCACUCUAAUGAGACUGCCGGUGACAAACCGGA